UGUGACAAAGAAAGUUGAGAGAAGAGAAACUUGAGAGGGGAAAGCAAACUGCCGGACUUCUCGUCGGAGAACCAUCAUCGAAGUUCAUUUUUUACCAAGGCUUACACGCUGAAGUUUGUUCUUGAAGAAAAAGAGGACUCGUGUUGUUGAGGUUCCAUUUUCUAUCAAGAUUCGAGAGAACUUAGCAAGGAAGAUCUGCCACUGAUUGCGUGAGGAAAAUCGGACGAAACGUUGAGGUCGGAGAAUCUUUCCAAGAAUGGAGGAGAGAGAAAGUGACGGCGUGCCACGUGUCAACCAUCGAGAGGUCUCUCAUGCGCCGAUAGCCACCAGACACACGUGAACGCUGUCUGGAGCGACGCGAUUCCAGUUUUCCAGUGACGCGCGUCCGCAGUUGCAACACCCAACCCGCGUCCCUCAACCGAUCCGACACCCGCACUACGAGACGAACCGUAAUGACCCAUGGUCCACCUGAACUGAACCGACGAUCCGCGACUGCAGCAAAAGUGCAUGCGCGUGACACUUGCAUGUGGAAGCGCGUGUAAGCCCAUUUUUGUCCGGUUUGACUCCUGUUUUCCCUAUUUUCCUCCCAAAUCCAAUCCUAACUCUAUUUUGUUCUAAGGACCUUGGUCCUAGGUUGAGUCAAAAAGCAGGUUGAGUCAAAAAGCUUGGUUUGUCUCAUGCCUAACCCUAGUUUACGCACUUGUAUGAUCCCUCCACCUUGAAUGAGUUUAAGAAGUGUAGAUCUCAUCAUGACUGUCCUCUUUCACUC